AUUGUUACUUCGGGUGAAGUGAGGCAAUUACUAGAGUGGCGAACUGGUGAGUAACACGUAAGAAACCUGCCCUUUAGUGGGGGAUAACAUUUGGAAACAGAUGCUAAUACCGCGUAACAACAAAUCACACAUGUGAUCUGUUUGAAAGGUCCUUUUGGAUCGCUAGAGGAUGGUCUUGCGGCGUAUUAGCUUGUUGGUAGGGUAGAAGCCUACCAAGGCAAUGAUGCGUAGCCGAGUUGAGAGACUGGCCGGCCACAUUGGGACUGAGACACUGCCCAAACUCCUACGGGAGGCUGCAGUAGGGAAUUUUCCGCAAUGCACGAAAGUGUGACGGAGCGACGCCGCGUGUGUGAUGAAGGCUUUCGGGUCGUAAAGCACUGUUGUAAGGGAAGAAUAACUGAAUUCAGAGAAAGUUUUCAGCUUGACGGUACCUUACCAGAAAGGGAUGGCUAAAUACGUGCCAGCAGCCGCGGUAAUACGUAUGUCCCGAGCGUUAUCCGGAUUUAUUGGGCGUAAAGCGAGCGCAGACGGUUUAUUAAGUCUGAUGUGAAAUCCCGAGGCCCAACCUCGGAACUGCAUUGGAAACUGAUUUACUUGAGUGCGAUAGAGGCAAGUGGAACUCCAUGUGUAGCGGUGAAAUGCGUAGAUAUGUGGAAGAACACCAGUGGCGAAAGCGGCUUGCUAGAUCGUAACUGACGUUGAGGCUCGAAAGUAUGGGUAGCAAACGGGAUUAGAUACCCCGGUAUUCCAUACCGUAAACGAUGGGUGCAAGUUGGUUAGGAGGGUUCCG
rnacentral:rRNA from 1 species